UUACACAUGCAAGUCGAACGGCAGCACGGACUUCGGUCUGGUGGCGAGUGGCGAACGGGUGAGUAAUGUAUCGGAACGUGCCCAGUAGCGGGGGAUAACUACGCGAAAGCGUAGCUAAUACCGCAUACGCCCUACGGGGGAAAGCAGGGGAUCGCAAGACCUUGCACUAUUGGAGCGGCCGAUAUCGGAUUAGCUAGUUGGUGGGGUAACGGCUCACCAAGGCGACGAUCCGUAGCUGGUUUGAGAGGACGACCAGCCACACUGGGACUGAGACACGGCCCAGACUCCUACGGGAGGCAGCAGUGGGGAAUUUUGGACAAUGGGGGAAACCCUGAUCCAGCCAUCCCGCGUGUGCGAUGAAGGCCUUCGGGUUGUAAAGCACUUUUGGCAGGAAAGAAACGUCGUGGGUUAAUACCCCGCGAAACUGACGGUACCUGCAGAAUAAGCACCGGCUAACUACGUGCCAGCAGCCGCGGUAAUACGUAGGGUGCAAGCGUUAAUCGGAAUUACUGGGCGUAAAGCGUGCGCAGGCGGUUCGGAAAGAAAGAUGUGGAAUCCCAGAGCUUAACUUUGGAACUGCAUUUUUAACUACCGGGCUAGAGUGUGUCAGAGGGAGGUGGAAUUCCGCGUGUAGCAGUGAAAUGCGUAGAUAUGCGGAGGAACACCGAUGGCGAAGGCAGCCUCCUGGGAUAACACUGACGCUCAUGCACGAAAGCGUGGGGAGCAAACAGGAUUAGAUAUCCUGGUAGUCCACGCCCUAAACGAUGUCAACUAGCUGUUGGGGCCUUCGGGCCUUGGUAGCGCAGCUAACG
rnacentral:rRNA from 1 species